AUACGUAGGGUGCGAGCGUUGUCCGGAAUUACUGGGCGUAAAGAGCUCGUAGGUGGUUUGUCGCGUCGUCUGUGAAAUUCCGGGGCUUAACUCCGGGCGUGCAGGCGAUACGGGCAUAACUUGAGUACUGUAGGGGAGACUGGAAUUCCUGGUGUAGCGGUGAAAUGCGCAGAUAUCAGGAGGAACACCGGUGGCGAAGGCGGGUCUCUGGGCAGUAACUGACGCUGAGGAGCGAAAGCAUGGGUAGCGAACAGGGUUAGAUACCCUGGUAGUCCAUGCCGUAAACGGUGGGCGCUAGGUGUAGGGGUCUUCCACGACUUCUGUGCCGUAGCUAACACAUUAAGCGCCCCGCCUGGGGAGUACGGCCGCAAGGCUAAAACUCAAAUGAAUUGACGGGG
rnacentral:rRNA from 1 species